AGAGUUUGAUCAUGGCUCAGAGCGAACGCUGGCGGCAUGCUUAACACAUGCAAGUCGCACGGGCAGGGGCAACUCUGUCAGUGGCGGACGGGUGAGUAACGCGUAGGUAUCUAUCCUUGGGUGGGGGACAACCUGGGAAACUACGGCUAAUACCGCAUGAUAACUGAGGUUUAAAGGCGCAAGUCGCCUGGGGAGGAGCC
rnacentral:rRNA from 1 species